rnacentral:rRNA from 1 species
GACGAACGCUGGCGGCGUGCCUAAUACAUGCAAGCCGAGCGGACGGAUGGGAGCUUGCUCCCAGACCGUCAGCGGCGGCGGGGGGAGUAACAGGGGGGCAACCUGCCUGUAAGUCUGGGAUAACUCCGGGAAACCGGGGCUAAUACCGGAUAACUCUUUCCCUCCCAUGAGGGGAAGCUGAAAGAUGGCAUCUCGCUAUCACUUACAGGUGGGCCCGCGGCGCAUGAGCUAGUUGGGGAGAUAAAGGCUUACCAAGGCGACGAUGCGUAGCCGACCUGAGAGGGUGAUCGGCCACACUGGAACUGAGACACGGCCCAGGCUCCUACGGGAGGCAGCAGUAGGGAAUCUUCCGCAAUGGACGAAAGUCUGACGGAGCAACGCCGCGUGAGUGAUGAAGGUUUUCGGAUCGUAAAGCUCUGUUGUCAGGGAAGAACAAGUACCGGAGUAACUGCCGGUACCUUGACGGUACCUGAUCAGAAAGCCACGGCUAACUACGUG